rnacentral:sRNA from 1 species
UGAGUGGGAAUUGCCUAAGUGCGCAUGCGUGAACCCCUGGCCGGGCAUGCGCUCUCCCAGGAAUUUUGAGCACGAAAUUUCUGGAGAUUCAUUCCGCCAAGAACCUUCAGAGAGCUGGGACUCCCACUCAGGACUCUGACUUUUCAGGAUACAGGGAAACUUAUGGCCAGCAGAAGCAGGACACAAAGGUGUUGUUUUGCCAUCUUCUGGGCCCCAGGAACUGGUGACCUUUAAGCUUGUGGAUUGAAGGAGGAGGAGUUAAGCUGCCUCACUGCAGGGGACCCUGUACACUGAAAUGAUGUUGGAGAAUUCACCAGGACCUUGCCUUCCUAGGUACCAGUUCCCUAAACAUGGCCUGACUUCACACCUGGAAGAAGAGGCACCACAAGCAACAGAGGAAGACAGUGAUGCAGUAAUGUGGAGAAGUCCUGAGAGGAGACCUGAAGAACUAGUCCCAGGGCAGAGCUUCCCCUGCAGAGGAACCAGCCACAGGGCAGGAAUGGAGGACCUACCCGUGGACAACUUCUGACAUGUCUGUGUUGGGAUCUUCUCUGAUGACACACCGGAAUUGCACCAGGACGCUCAGAAACAGCAGGGUUUUGGUGAGUGCUAUACCGGUGAGCCACCCUGGGACCUUUGUGCCAGGGAAACAAGCCUGUAAAGAGCUUCGAUUUUGGCAGCCUUCCAGGAAAUGACCCCCAGUAUCGAUCUCCGGGAGCCUGCACUAGCUCCAAGCCAGGACCGUGUCACAUGUAAACUUUGCAAAAGAAUCUUCAGCAGCCAAGUAGGUCUCAGGAGACAUGAGCUAUCCUACAGCCGAAAGAGGCCUUUUAGAUGUGCACAGUGCAUUGAUACCACACAGCUCUCGUGCUAUGCCUCAACAGACACCUGAUGUUCUGGUGAGUGUUAACACCACGUCUGUUCUAUGCCACGAGGAAGGGUUCGUGAAACAGCAAAAUCUUUUAUUGUUCCCACCACAUAAGUGGAGUCGCUGAUUGAUCAGGACAGCAAAUGAGGACUGGAACCUUGUUUCUUCUGGCAGCCAGGGUUUAUAGGCAUAAAGACUGCAAGCAUCUGGCCCAGGUUAAAGUUAUAAUUCUCACCAAUCAGGAUUCGGGGAUUAGGGACUUUCCCCAGUGUUCCAUCGUUGUCAACUGACAUUGAAUGUUAAGUGGUUUUAUCCAACCAGUCAAAUUUAUUUGUUCUUUCUGUUGUUAGGAACAGGUAUUAUGUUUUGGGGGGACCAUUGCUGCUUAGAGAGGGAGUUGGUUAGCUUAGGUAAAAUGAAGUCUGAAGUUAAAAUGGUAGUAUAUAAGACAUGUUUUGAUUUGGUUUGGUCUGGUUUUACCUGUUCCAUGUUCCCAGCAGUGAGAAGUCUCUGAUGGGCAGUAAAGAUAAGAAUUCCCUGCACUAAGUAGGCAGCCGGGGGCCAGGCAGCAUGUGGGGGCUGGGACACAGCUUGCAGAGCCCAUGUAGCAAAGCUGUGCACCUCUCUCAGCAUCCCAAAGCCCACAAGGUAGCCAAGUCCCAUUUCUCCGAGUUCUACCACAAGAUGCAUGCUGUCCACUAAGAGCAGAGACAAGACCACAUGGGGAGAGAGCCUGACACCGUUGUGACUGUAGCAGAAUGUUCAGGCAGAGCUCCUAUCUUAUUGAUCACUUCUAAGUUCAGGCCUCACCAGUUGCCAUCCCUCUAGGAAGAGCUUCAGCCAACCCUCAUGGCCUCCUCAGCACUAGCAGCUGCAGCCUCAAGAGAGACAGGUGCAGACACAGGACAGCUGCUGUUCAGAAAGCCAGAGAGCAACACUGUCCUAACACGUCGGCUUUCUCCUGCAGAGCAGUGUCUUUCAACCUUCCUAAUGCU